GGUAGUCCACGCCGUAAACUAUGGAUGCUAGCUGUUGGAGGUAUCGACCCCUUCAGUAGCGAAGCUAACGCGUUAAGCAUCCCGCCUGUGGAGUACGAUCGCAAGAUUAAAACAUAAAGGAAUUGACGGGGUCCCGCACAAGUAGCGGAUGAUGUUCUUUAAUUCGAUGAUAAGCGAAGAACCUUACCAGGGCUUGACAUCCCUUGAAUUUCUGUGAAAGCAGAGAGUGCUUUAUUGAGCAAGGUGACAGGUGCUGCAUGGCCGUCGUCAGCUCGUGUCGUGAGAUGUUUGGUUAAG
rnacentral:rRNA from 1 species